AUACGUAGGGGGCGAGCGUUGUCCGGAUUUAUUGGGCGUAAAGGGUGCGUAGGCGGUCUUGUAAGUCAGAUGUGAAAGAUCAUGGCUUAACUGUGGUAAGCAUUUGAAACUGCAGGGCUUGAGUACAGGAGCGGGGAGUGGAAUUCCUAGUGUAGCGGUGAAAUGCGUAGAUAUUAGGAGGAAUACCAGUGGCGAAGGCGACUCUCUGGACUGAUACUGACGCUGAGGCACGAAAGCGUGGGGAGCAAACAGGAUUAGAUACCCUGGUAGUCCACGCUAUAAACGAUGAGUGCUAGGUGUCGGGGGUCAAACCUCGGUGCCGCAGUUAACACAUUAAGCACUCCGCCUGGGGAGUACGGCCGCAAGGCUGAAACUUAAAGGAAUUGACGGGG
rnacentral:rRNA from 1 species